UCGUAUUGCAUAAUUUUAUUUUGAUCGGGUUCAAUAUUCUGUUUAUACUAAUUAUGGUAGCCAUGCGGUUUGCCUGGCGUUUUGGCUGUUAAGUUUGGUGAUGUUGGCCUCCCUAAGGAUUUUUCACCCUCUCACAAGGUGUGUCCAAUAAACAGUACAGUCAC